rnacentral:rRNA from 1 species
AUUGAACGCUGGCGGCAGGCCUAACACAUGCAAGUCGAACGAGUGGCGGACGGGUGAGUAAUGUCUGGGAAACUGCCUGAUGGAGGGGGAUAACUACUGGAAACGGUAGCUAAUACCGCAUACCAGCAGAUGUGCCCAGAUGGGAUUAGCUAUUGGGUGGUGUAACUGCUCACCAGGGCGACGAUCCCUAGCUGGUCGGAGAGGAGGACCAGCCACACUGGACUUGAGACACGGUCCAUAUCCGUACGGGAGGAAGCAGUGGGGAAUAUUGCACAAUGGGCGCAAGCCUGAUGCAGCCAUGCCGCGUGGAUGAAGAAGGCCUUCGGGUUGUAAAGUACUUUCAGCGGGGAGGCGUUACCCGCAGAAGAAGCACCGGCUAACUCCGUGCCAGCAGCCGCGGUAAUAC